GACGAACGCUGACGGCGUGCUUAACACAUGCAAGUCGAACGGAAAGGCCCUGCUUUUGUGGGGUGCUCGAGUGGCGAACGGGUGAGUAACACGUGAGUAACCUGCCCUUGACUUUGGGAUAACUUCAGGAAACUGGGGCUAAUACCGGAUAGGAGCUCCUGCUGCAUAGUGGGGGUUGGAAAGUUUCGGCGGUUGGGGAUGGACUCGCGGCUUAUCAGCCUGUUGGUGGGGUAGUGGCUUACCAAGGCUUUGACGGGUAGCCGGCCUGAGAGGGUGACCGGCCACAUUGGGACUGAGAUACGGCCCAGACUCCUACGGGAGGCAGCAGUGGGGAAUAUUGCACAAUGGGCGGAAGCCUGAUGCAGCAACGCCGCGUGCGGGAUGACGGCCUUCGGGUUGUAAACCGCUUUCGCCUGUGACGAAGCGUGAGUGACGGUAAUGGGUAAAGAAGCACCGGCUAACUACGUG
rnacentral:rRNA from 1 species